rnacentral:tRNA from 2 species
GCCCGAAUGGCUCAGUGGUAAAGCGUCUCACUAGUAUGGCCGUUCAACAGACUUCGGUCUAUCUGGAUAGUUGACAACAUGAGAAGAUCGCCAGUUCGAUUCUGGCUUUGGGCA